CAUAUCAAAACUAACUAGAGAAAGAACAGAAAAGAGAGAGUAUACUUGAUACUUCGCCCAACACCAUCGAUUAUGGGUGCGAGAAAUGCUACCAUCUGCUUUGUGCUGAUCCUUGUGUUAUUCGCGAAUCAUGGUUCUGCAGAAAAAAAGUGUUGGGGAAAUACCUCUGGGAGUCCACUCUGUGUAGGCUUCCUGUGCAAGGCAACAUGCUUGAUUGGAGGCAAAAUGUUUAACGCCGACGUAAAGGAGCACAAGUGUAUAGGGCCAGCAUGGAGCAGCGAAUGCUACUGCUAUUUCUGCGACAAAUAGUUUGUUAGCGCGGAGCUGAAGAGUGCCUCAUUAUUACAAAUGGUCAAAGAAAACAGAGACAAUAGUUCGUGAUUUCUUGGUUUAGCAUAUAAAGGGGAUGAAUAAUUUAUUCUCGUUGUCAACCUCAUUGUUCGAUGAUGUUAUGAUGAUGCGAAUUUUAUAAACAAGUGCAGUAUUAUAUCCUGGCAAAA